rnacentral:rRNA from 1 species
AUUGAACGCUGGCGGCAUGCCUUACACAUGCAAGUCGAACGGUAACGCGGGGCAACCUGGCGACGAGUGGCGAACGGGUGAGUAAAGUAUCGGAACGUGCCCAAUAGUGGGGGAUAGCCCGGCGAAAGCCGGAUUAAUACCGCAUGAGACCUGAGGGUGAAAGCGGGGGACUCGCAAGAGCCUCGCGCUGUUGGAGCGGCCGAUAUCAGAUUAGGUAGUUGGUGGGGUAAAGGCCUACCAAGCCUGUGAUCUGUAGCUGGUCUGAGAGGACGACCAGCCACACUGGGACUGAGACACGGCCCAGACUCCUACGGGAGGCAGCAGUGGGGAAUUUUGGACAAUGGGCGCAAGCCUGAUCCAGCAAUGCCGCGUGCGGGAAGAAGGCCUCGGUGUAAC